UACAGAGGCCUCAAGCGUUGUUCGGAUUCAUUGGGCGUAAAGGGUGCGUAGGUGGCGGUGUAAGUUCGGUGUGAAAUUUCAGGGCUCAACCUUGAAACUGCAUUGAAUACUGCAUUGCUAGAGGAUUGUAGAGGAGAGUGGAAUUCACGGUGUAGCAGUGAAAUGCGUAGAUAUCGUGAGGAAGACCAGUUGCGAAGGCGGCUCUCUGGACCAACACUGACACUGAGGCACGAAAGCGUGGGGAGCAAACAGG
rnacentral:rRNA from 1 species